rnacentral:rRNA from 1 species
UAGGGAAUCUUCCACAAUGGACGCAAGUCUGAUGGAGCAACGCCGCGUGAGUGAAGAAGAUCUUCGGAUCGUAAAACUCUGUUGUUAGAGAAGAACACGAGUGAGAGUAACUGUUCAUUCGAUGACGGUAUCUAACCAGCAAGCCACGGCUAACUACGUGCCAG